rnacentral:ncRNA from 2 species
UAUCCAUCCAGAGCGGCCGAGAGAUCUGGCUCGUUGACGCCGCAGCAACCAUCCUGAAGGGUUCCGUAGCAGGAAUCGUGAGGGAAAGGUGCUCCCGCCAGAAGACGAUGGCGC